rnacentral:rRNA from 1 species
UACGGGGGGGGCAAGCGUUGUUCGGAAUUACUGGGCGUAAAGGGCUCGUAGGCGGCCAACUAAGUCAGACGUGAAAUCCCCAGGCUUAACCUGGGAACUGCGUCUGAUACUGGAUGGCUUGAGUUCGGGAGAGGGAUGCGGAAUUCCAGGUGUAGCGGUGAAAUGCGUAGAUAUCUGGAGGAACACCGGUGGCGAAGGCGGCAUCCUGGACCGACACUGACGCUGAGGAGCGAAAGCCAGGGGAGCAAACGGG